CAGAGGGGGCAAGCGUUAUUCGGAAUUAUGGGCGUAAGGGCGCGUAGGCGGCUUUGCAAGUGACGGGUGAAAUCCCUCGGCUUAACCGAGGAACUGCCUGUCAGGCUGCAUGGCUUGAGACCAGGAGAGGUGAGUGGAAUUCCCAGUGUAGCGGUGAAAUGCGUAGAUAUUGGGAGGAACACCAGUGGCGAAGGCGGCUCACUGGACUGGUACUGACGCUGAUGCGCGAAAGCGUGGGGAGCAAACAGGAUUAGAUACCCUGGUAGUCCACGCCGUAAACGAUGAGUGCUUGGUGUAGCGGGUAUCGACCCCUGCUGUGCCGAAGUCAACACAUUAAGCACUCCGCCUGGGGAGUACGGUCGCAAGACUG
rnacentral:rRNA from 1 species